CCCUUCUUCUCACCCACGAAAGAGAGAGAGAAGAGAAGAGGAGCCCUCCACCCCGCCGUCGCAGCGCCAACCAAACCCUCGUCGUCGUCCCGGAUCCUGCCGUCGCCGCCGCAGCCAUGCCGUUCACCCCGGGACCCUACUCCGGCAAGAGCACCCUCGCCCUCGUGGCCAGGGUCUCCGCCGUCGGCGUCGGCGUCGUCUACGGCUCCAUCAAGCUCGGCAUCCUCAAGAUGACCAAGCCCAAGGAGGAAGCAGCUGCUCAUCACUGAGGACAAGUAGCUCCAGCGGGUUGACGCCGUAGAUUCACGAUGUACCUUCUAUAUGUGCAUUCGGUUCUGUGAUUUGUGUCUGAAACCCAAGAAACCCCAGACCCAUGUGGGAGCUGAACCUUAGUUUUUUGCUUGUGGAAAAUAAUAUCCUCGGCUGAAUCGAUUUGAAAUCAGGAAGAGUGAAACUUAAAAAAUCCUUUGGUGUGGUACUGCGAUG